GACGAACGCUGGCGGCGUGCUUAACACAUGCAAGUCGAACGGAAAGGCCCUGCUUUUGUGGGGUGCUCGAGUGGCGAACGGGUGAGUAACACGUGAGUAACCUGCCCUUGACUUUGGGAUAACUUCAGGAAACUGGGGCUAAUACCGGAUAGGAGCUCCUGCUGCAUGGUGGGGGUUGGAAAGUUUCGGCGGUUGGGGAUGGACUCGCGGCUUAUCAGCUUGUUGGUGGGGUAGUGGCUUACCAAGGCUUUGACGGGUAGCCGGCCUGAGAGGGUGACCGGCCACAUGGGGACUGAGAUACGGCGCAGACUGCUACGGGAGGCAGCAGUGGGGAAUAUUGCACAAUGGGCGGAAGCCUGAUGCAGCAACGCCGCGGGCGGGAUGACGGCCUUCGGGUUGUAAACCGCUUUCGCCUGUGACGAAGCGUGAGUGACGGUAAUGGGUAAAGAAGCACCGGCUAACUACGUG
rnacentral:rRNA from 1 species